UAGGGAAUCUUCGGCAAUGGACGAAAGUCUGACCGAGCAACGCCGCGUGAGUGAAGAAGGUUUUCGGAUCGUAAAACUCUGUUGUUAGAGAAGAACGUUGAUUAGAGUGGAAAAUUAAUCAAGUGACGGUAUCUAACCAGAAAGGGACGGCUAACUACGUGCCAGCAGCCGCGGUAAUACGUAGGUCCCGAGCGUUGUCCGGAUUUAUUGGGCGUAAAGCGAGCGCAGGUGGUUUAAUAAGUCUGAUGUAAAAGGGCAGUGGCUCAACCAUUGUGUGCAUUGGAAACUGUUAGACUUGAGUGCAGUAGAGGAGAGUGGAAUUCCAUGUGUAGCGGUGAAAUGCGUAGAUAUAUGGAGGAACACCGGUGGCGAAAGCGGCUCUCUGGACUGUCACUGACACUGAGGCUCGAAAGCGUGGGUAGCAAACAGGAUUAGAUACCC
rnacentral:rRNA from 1 species